GAGGUAUAUGGAGAGUGCUGAAAACAACAAGAAGGGUAAAAUACUACAGUGAUCAUGUGACAGAAUGUAGAAGCAGCUAUCUACAGCAAUCAAGACAAAGUCACAUACUAUGUUUCUGCAGAUGAAGAUUAUCUUAACCCAGAUGCAAUCGGGGAAGAGGAAGUGGCAGAGCCACAGGAACAUUACAACACCCUACAACUGCCUAGCAAUUUGACAGAGACGGAUGGAGAGUUGUAUGAGGAUAUAGAGGGGUGUUUAUAUGCUCAACC